UGCCAUUGGAAAACAAGAUAGUUAGUAACUGAUUUGGAAGUGCAGAUAAACUGAUUUGGCCUCAUGAUCAGUCAAGUCUCUAUACAGUCAAGAGAGCCUAGCUUCUCCAUAGUUGAUUCUCAAAUGGAAGAGCAGAACUUGGUGUCCUGGCUCUCAGAUGUGGGCUGACCUGUGGAAGCUUGAACUCCCUUUCAAAGUCUUUACUUUCCUUUGGAAACUACUAAAUGAUGGUCUUCCAGUGAGAAGGGAGUUAGCAAAUAGGAAUCUCAUCACUGAUGCAUCUUGUCCUUUAUGUGCUAUUGAAGAGGGAUGCCUGGAUCGUCUAUUUAUUGCCUAUAACUUAGCUUGUGCAUGUGUUUAAGAUCCCACUUACCAUUGGAAGGUAAUUGAGUCAAAGUCAAGUCAUAAUUGCAUUGCUACUUGGCUGGAAAGAGUUUAUAAGCGUAGGACCAGUGCAAUCACCUCACUGUAUUCUUUGCCAACACUCUUUGGGCUAUUCGGAUACAUAGAAACAAAGUAGUGCAUGAAGGAAUAAGUGUUAAUGCUAGCUUUUUAAGUCCUAAGUCAUAGUGCUGACCUCUCUGCUAUUUAUAGGGAUGCAGCAAACGCAUGGGAAAUGGACACUUCUGUUAAACAACCUGAUGUGCUCUUCAGCAGGUUACUUGGCAGUAUGGCACAUGAUCGGAUGUUGAAGGUACCAAGAGAAAAGGUGCAAUUAAAGGAACCAAUUUAAGCAGUUCAAAAAGUUUCUUUGUUGGUUGAUUGUAGAUGGAUGAUGGUGUAGAUCUUUUAGUAUCAUGUCAAUUCUAAUGCAAAAAUUUUCACAUCAGAUUUCUUUGAUAAUCCUAUCCGUGACCUUCAUUUGGCAUCGUGAUGAUAGAGUAAUGUUUUACCAUGCCAUGUAAAUGGUGGUGUUGGUUGAUCUUUUUUAAGAGGAUUAUGAUGUAUUUAAUUUUGGUGUCUCAUGUUUUCCUUUUCCCUUGUUUAUGCAUGGGAAGAAGAUUAUAAAGUAUUAAAGUUGUUUUGUAA